rnacentral:rRNA from 1 species
GACGGACGCUGGCGGCAUGCCUAAUACAUGCAAGUCGAGCGAACGGAUGAAGUGCUUGCACUUCUGACGUUAGCGGCGAACGGGUGAGUAACACGUAAGGAAUCUACCUAUAAGCGGGGGAUAACAUUCGGAAACGGGUGCUAAUACCGCAUAAUAUCUUCUUCCGCAUGGAAGAAGAUUGAAAGACGGCUCUGCUGUCACUUAUAGAUGACCUUGCGGUGCAUUAGUUAGUUGGUGGGGUAAUGGCCUACCAAGACGAUGAUGCAUAGCCGACCUGAGGGGGUGAUGGGCCAAAUUGGGACUGAGACACGGCCAAAACUCCUACGGGAGGCAGCAGUAGGGAAUCUUCCGCAAUGGGCGAAAGCCUGACGGAGCAAUGCCGCGUGAGUGAAGAAGGCCUUCGGGUCGUAAAACUCUGUUAUAAGAGAAGAACAAAUUGUAGAGUAACUGCUACAGUCUUGACGGUAUCUUAUCAGAAAGCCACGGCUAACUACGUGCCAGCCGCCGCCGUAA